AUGGAAGUGUUCUGUUUAGCUAUUGAGUUUGUUCGUGAUACACUACUAGCCACGAUGCAACGCGAUCACAAGUUGUACUCGAGCGUCAUCAUGUUGCACUAUCAAAGAGCAACUGACCGAAAUACUCAGCCAUGCUGCUCGCGCACGGGGAACGAUCCAGGUGUCACUGUCAACUAUCAAGCGUACGUUGGAAGAUCAUCGCUGAUCGUGCAGCCACCCCUGGUUCGGAGAUAUGGCAACUGGAUGAAGGAUGAUCUCACCGAAAUCUCAAUCUCUGGCGACACUGGGGGAACCCUAGCCGCCGUCAGCGAGGUCCCUUCCCUGCCCCCACCCCCGCGUCGCCGCCGCCGGAGGGCCGGCCGGCGAAGCCACGCCGGACCCCAGGAAGGCGUCCCCGAGAUCCCUCCUGGCAUCUCUCGGGUGUCCUCCACCGGCUGCUGCCCCGACUUGCCGGCCGGCGGCGGCCCUCCCUCGCCCCGAGCCACGAUGAUAGCUCUCGCGCGGAGGCGGGGAUGCUUCUGUGGUGUGGCUGACUCAGGGCUCCUCGCGGCGGAUCACUGCUGGUGUUGUUUCGGUCCCGGCGGCCUCGGGCCCGCGUCCCUCCGGUGUCCCCAGCUGCCGGCGUCCUCUGCCGGUGCAGCCCCGCCAACCCCCUCCAACAUGGUGGUUCCGACCAACUUUGGCUUCCUCAUCUUCGAUUUCAGACUCGGCGGCUAUGGGAUUGCUCAGCUUCAAGCCAGGGAGAGAUCCCUGGUCGGCUUGCCGGUGCUGGCAGUGGCGGCGCCCGUGGGUGUCGCUUCCUUCUUGGAGGCGUUGUCAAGGCCUUCAGCUGCGCCCCUCUUCGAGCUCAGGGGAAACCCCCGGUCCGACUCCCCUGGACCGGAUAGCGAUGGCGUCCCAGCGUCGUCUUCCUUCUUGAAGGCGCUAUCUUGCGAGCUCGCGGUGUCCCCGAUUCUGCCUCGAUCGAUGUUGGUAUUCUUGUGUUGGUUCGGCAUUGCCGCUCGGUUCGGGUUUGACCAUUCGUGCACAGAGCAGGUAGCAUCGUGUGUGUGUUUACUUGCGCUCGAGGGCGAUCUCGCAACACUAUCAGCAGAAACAAGUUGCAAGCAGCCUCCGCGAUUUUGGUUCAUUGGCGUCGUUGUAAUGAAUCUCCACCGUAGUGUUCCGGUUUGGCCGCUAGGAGACGAGGCUCUUGAGCUGUUCGAAUAUCAUUCUCUUGACUUCUCCGUGCUACCGCCAAACUCGUCUCCAUCUCAUGUUUCUCAGCAACUCCAGCAAAACAGUAAUCUGAAAGCUGCUGGCUGGCCAUCACCACGUGUUAAAUGCUGCGUGGGGGCAGGCACCCCGUGUGCCACACACUGCAGGCGGGUCCCGCGGGUAUGGUGGAACGGACUUUCGUUUCCUUUCUCACCUGAGCCGGCCGAAAUAACCACAGCCAAUGCUGCAUGGGCGCGGGGCACGAUCCAGGCGUCACUGUCAAGCGCACGUACGAAAAUCCGUGGCCCGGACCACCGCUCGCUUGCCAUCGGCGAUCGGAAGCGGUACGGCUCGCGAAAGGCAGCUCGCACUGCUCCGCCGGAGUGCUGUGCGGGCAUGGCCACGGGAGCCGAGAUCUUCCGGCCACUCGCGGUCGCCGGCGACGUCGUGGAGGCGCCGGCGUUGCUGAUCGCCACAGGCAAGGAUCAGCUCGUGGAUCCGGUGAUCUGGGGCGACGAGGAGCGGAUGAAGAGGGAGCUCAUGGCGUGGGCCAAGGCCGUCGCGUCCAUGGCGCUCAACGGCUCCGCCGACUCGUCGUCGCCCCUUUCCAUGGGCCGACGACAGAGAAGCCAGGGAGCGAGCCGCCUCCAGCUUACAGCUUAG
rnacentral:rRNA from 1 species